AAGACUAUAGACCUGCGGAGUACCUGCGGAGGGAUCAUUAAAAAUGCUGGGGGUUGAUUUUCGGAUCGCCUUCUAACAAUUUUAUUCUGUGCACUGUUUUAUUGGCUGAGAGUCUGACUCUUAAGCCUGCCCUGGGUGUACUCGCUUUUUGCCUCGGCAGAAAAUCCGGUCGCCCAGAUUAUUAUACUAUUCUGACUGAACCAACAAGAAAUUUGUUAACAAUAAACAACUUUUAACAAU
rnacentral:misc_RNA from 1 species